rnacentral:rRNA from 1 species
UACGUAGGGUGCAAGCGUUGUCCGGAAUUAUUGGGCGUAAAGGGCUCGUAGGCGGUUUGUCACGUCGGGAGUGAAAACUUGGGGCUUAACCCCAAGCCUGCUUCCGAUACGGGCGGACUAGAGGUAGGCAGGGGAGAACGGAAUUCCUGGUGUAGCGGUGAAAUGCGCAGAUAUCAGGAGGAACACCGGUGGCGAAGGCGGUUCUCUGGGCCUUACCUGACGCUGAGGAGCGAAAGCGUGGGGAGCAAACAGG